rnacentral:rRNA from 1 species
UACGGAGGGGGCUAGCGUUGUUCGGAAUUACUGGGCGUAAAGCGCACGUAGGCGGCUUUGUAAGUUAGAGGUGAAAGCCCAGGGCUUAACCCUGGAAUUGCCUUUAAGACUGCAUCGCUAGAAUUGUGGAGAGGUAAGUGGAAUUCCGAGUGUAGAGGUGAAAUUCGUAGAUAUCGGGAGGAACACCUGUGGCGAAAGCGGCUCACUGGACCGCAACUGACGCUGAGGCGCGAAAGCUAGGGGAGCAAACAGG